AUUGAACGCUGGCGGCAUGCCUUACACAUGCAAGUCGAACGGUAACGCGGGGCAACCUGGCGACGAGUGGCGAACGGGUGAGUAAUACAUCGGAACGUGCCCAGUAGUGGGGGAUAGCCCGGCGAAAGCCGGAUUAAUACCGCAUACGACCUACGGGUGAAAGCAGGGGAUCGCAAGACCUUGCGCUAUUGGAGCGGCCGAUGUCAGAUUAGGUUGUUGGUGGGGUAAAAGCCUACCAAGCCGACGAUCUGUAGCUGGUCUGAGAGGACGACCAGCCACACUGGGACUGAGACACGGCCCAGACUCCUACGGGAGGCAGCAGUGGGGAAUUUUGGACAAUGGGCGCAAGCCUGAUCCAGCCAUGCCGCGUGCGGGAAGAAGGCCUCGG
rnacentral:rRNA from 1 species